rnacentral:rRNA from 1 species
GACGAACGCUGGCGGCGUGCUUAACACAUGCAAGUCGAACGAAGUGGCGAACGGGUGAGUAAUACGUGGGUAACCCGCCCUCCUUUCUGGGAUAAGCCUCGGAAAAGGGUUCUAAUACCGCAUAAAGGGGGAGGGGGUCGCGGCCUAUAGGCUUGUUGGUGGGGUGAUGGUCUACCGAGGCGGUGACGGGUAGCCGGCCUGAGAGGGUAACCGGCCACAUGGAGACGGGGAUACGGCCCAGACUCCUACGUGGGGCAGCAGUGGGGGGUAUUGCACAAUGGGCGAAAGCCUGAUGCAGCGACGCCGCAUGGGGGAUGAGGGCUUUCGGGUUGUAAACCUCUUUCGCUAUCGAGCGGGUAGGUGGAGAAGAAGCGCUGGCUAACUACGUGCCAGCCGCCGCGGUAAUAC